AUUCUAGGUAGAAUUAUGAUAAUGACAUUAUCUGCCUACAUGUCUUGACCAAAUUACGUGCCAGCAGUCGCGGUAAUACGUAGAAGACUAGUGUUAUUCAUCUUUAAUAGGUUUAAAGGGUACCUAGACGGUAAAUCAAGCCUGCGAGGGGACUAGUUUACUAGAGUUACUUGUGAGGGGGUAUUAAAGUACUAAUGGUGUAGAGAUGAAAUUCUGUCAUACCUCUUUUCGGAAGAAAAACUAUGGCACAGGUAUAGGCGAAAGCAUCCCCUUAUGUGAUAACUGACGUUGAAGGACGAAGGCUUUGUGUCGCGAACAGGAUUAGAUACCCCAGUAGUCAAAGCAGAAAAUGAUGAAUGUCAUAGACUAGGCGUAUAAUAGCUUAUUCUAUAGGUGAAAGUGUAAGCAUUCCACCUCAAGAGUAAUUUGGCAACAUUGGAACUGAAAUCAUUAGACCGUUUCUGAAACCAGUAGUGAAGUAUGUUGUUUAAUUUGAUAACCCGCAAAAAACCUUACCACAACUUGAAUAUUUAUGUUUAUAUUUUAUGAUUUUUUUUAUAAAAAUAAAAUAUAUUUACAAGCGUUGCACGGCUGUCUUCAGUUAAUGUCGUGAGAUUUUGGUUAGUUCCAUUAAA
rnacentral:rRNA from 1 species